rnacentral:lncRNA from 1 species
AAAUAAUUACUGUCAUGAGUGAUGUCCAUAUUAUAUUAAAACUGCUUUAUAAAAUCUCAGGCAAGUUGUACCAUAUAUGUCAAUAGGAGAUAUCUUGGUCCAUGUACCACUCUGACGCAAUUCCUAUCAAACUCUCCCCAAAACAGGCCAUCAGAAGUUCUUCUUUUCCACCUUCCCCUCUCAAGUGAUUGCAACAUAUUUUCAAAUGGGUAAUCA